UACGUAGGCAGCGAGCGUUGCUCGGAAUCACUGGGCGUAAAGCGCACGUAGGCGGAUUGCUAAGUCAGGGGUGAAAUCCUGGAGCUCAACUCCAGAACUGCCCUUGAUACUGGCGGUCUCGAGUCCGGGAGAGGUGAGUGGAACUGCGAGUGUAGAGGUGAAAUUCGUAGAUAUUCGCAAGAACACCAGUGGCGAAGGCGGCUCACUGGCCCGGUACUGACGCUGAGGUGCGAAAGCGUGGGGAGCAAACAGG
rnacentral:rRNA from 1 species